AGGGAGGCUACUCCCCCGGUUAUGGAGGAGCAUGGCCGAUGGUCGAUUGCGAUCGCCGGCGCUGGAAAAAUCCACGGGAAAAAAGGCCAAAACAGGGGUCUCUUUUCUGAUCGAAAAUCGGCGACACUCGUCGCCGGCAGUCACGCGCAAGGGUACGGGAGGAAAGGAAAGGAAGGGAAGAAAGGGAGGAAGACUUACCUCGGCUUCCGGUGACCCCACCGGCGAGCAAUCAUGGCAAGAACCAAACGGUGUCCGCGGCUCCGAUCGGGAAAAACAGGGAGAAAGAGAGGGGAAAAAGGCCGAUGGUCAAUUUCUAAGGAGAGGGG
rnacentral:lncRNA from 1 species